rnacentral:rRNA from 1 species
ACUCCUACGGGAGGCAGCAGUGGGGAAUAUUGCGCAAUGGGGGAAACCCUGACGCAGCGACGCCGCGUGAGCGAAGAAGGCCUUCGGGUUGUAAAGCUCUGUUGUAAGGGACGAAAGAUCAAGGGAAUAACUGCCCUUGAAGUGACGGUACCUUACCAGCAAGCCCCGGCUAACUACGUGCCAGCAGCCGCGGUAAGACGUAGGGGGCGAGCGUUGUCCGGAAUUACUGGGCGUAAAGAGCACGUAGGCGGAUGUAUAAGUCAGGUGUGAAAGACCGCAGCCUAACUGCGGGGUUGCACUUGAAACUGUAUAUCUUGAGGGCAGGAGAGGUUAGUAGAAUUCCUGGUGUAGCGGUGAAAUGCGUAGAAAUCAGGAGGAAUACCAGUGGCGAAGGCGACUAACUGGACUGACCCUGACGCUGAGGUGCGAAAGCGUGGGUAGCAAACAGGAUUAGAUACCCUGGUAGUC